rnacentral:tRNA from 1 species
CCGUAGCUCAGUUGGAUUAGAGCACCGGUCUACGAAACCGGGGGUCGUAGGUUCGAAUCCUACCGGGU